GAGCCGCUCUGGCCCCUCCCGUUAGAAACGCCGGGGUGGGCGUGGCCGCUGACAUCAUAGAGCGGAGCCCGCCGUCGGAGCCCCGAAAUCCCUCAGCGCCCUCAGGUCCUCGCGGGAUUCGCUGGUUCCUGUGUAUCUGAGUCCCUGGGUUCUGCGAAGAAGGGCUUCCGACCAGGAAGUAGCUUCGGACGUGGGCGGCCUUUCGUCUCUACCCGCGGCGUUUGGAGAGGUCCUGGUUCAGGUCCUGGGUCCCCAGGAGCAAGAGAGGUCAAGUGAAGGAAUGAGGGAAGAAAGAGGAAGUUCUUGGACUUGGCUAUCAUUGCUUCUGGGGAGAACUUCAAGGGGACACCAAGAUUUCUGACUCUAAGAACUUCGUGGCAGAUGCAGGAGACACCAAAGUCAUAGAAUCCACGUUACUGCUUCCUGAGCACAGAAGAAAAUGAUCAAGGCCCAGUAUUUGAAAAUGGUGCUUAUGUAGUCAACUAGUCUUUGACAAAGCAAGAAAAAAUAUCCAGCGUGGGGAAAAAAGCCUAUUCAACAACCGGUGUUGGGAAAACUGGACAGCUACGUGCAGAAGAAUGAAACUGGACCACUUUCUUAUACCAUACACAAAAAUAAAUUCAAAAUGGAUGAAAGAUCUAGAUGUGAGACAGGACACCAUCAAAAUCUUGGAAGAGAACACUGGCAGCAACUUCUUUGACCUUGGCCGUAGCAACUUCUUACUAGAUACAUCUCCAGAGGCAAGGGAAGUAAAA